rnacentral:rRNA from 1 species
UACAGAGGGUGCGAGCGUUGUCCGGAUUGACUGGGCGUAAAGAGUUCGUAGGCGGCGUAGAAAGUGGGGUGUGAAAGCCCUGGGCUCAACCGAGGAAUUGCGCUCCAAACUACUGUGCUAGAGGAAGCUAGAGGUGAGCAGAACAGAUGGUGGAGCGGUGAAAUGCGUAGAUAUCGUCUGGAAUACCGGAGGCGAAGGCGGCUCACUGGGGCUUUUCUGACGCUGAGGAACGAAAGCCAGGGUAGCGAACGGG